rnacentral:rRNA from 1 species
UACGUAGGGGGCAAGCGUUAUCCGGAAUUACUGGGUGUAAAGGGAGCGUAGACGGUAUGGCAAGUCUGAUGUGAAAACCCGGGGCUCAACCCCGGGACUGCAUUGGAAACUGUCGGACUAGAGUGUCGGAGAGGCAAGUGGAAUUCCUAGUGUAGCGGUGAAAUGCGUAGAUAUUAGGAGGAACACCAGUGGCGAAGGCGGCUUGCUGGACGAUGACUGACGUUGAGGCUCGAAAGCGUGGGGAGCAAACAGG